GGACAGGUGCCUGAGUGGUUUAAAGGGCACGCCUGGAGAGCGUGUAACGGCUAAAACCGUUCGAGGGUUCGAAUCCCUCCCUGUCCG
rnacentral:tRNA from 1 species